rnacentral:sRNA from 1 species
UUAGUACUAGAAGAACCAAUUUUGACUUGAUCAUCUAGUUUAGUUAAAGCUUUGGUUCUCUACUUUCUUAGGUGAGUUUUUUCUUUCUUGUACGUAGUUUCUUUAAGUUUAGAACGGGAAGCUAAUGGAAAAUAUGCUUUAUAAGAAGAGUCAAAUCACUCUACUGAAAUCUUCUUAAUCGAAAAAAUCUGCAAAUACGAGAGAACUCCAAAACUCGUUAGACCAAACUGAGAAAACUUGACCCGAUUAAAAAAAAAAAAGGAGAAAAAAGAAGAUUAAAUCAUGAUAUAACACUCAUAAAUUAUGACAUUAAUAUGAUAACAUUUUUCAAUAACCAAAGAUCAUGAAAGAAAGCAUAAACUAAUUCAUGGAAUAUAGAUAGCCAUCAUGUAAGAUAU